rnacentral:rRNA from 1 species
GAUGAACGCUGGCGGCGUGCCUAAUACAUGCAAGUCGAGCGAACGUACGAGAAGCUUGCUUCUGUGAUGUUAGCGGCGGACGGGCGAGUAACACGUUGAUAACCUACCUAUAAAACGGGGUUAACUUCGGGAAACGGGAGCAAUUACCGAAUAAUAUUUGGAACAGCAUGGUUCAAAAGUUAAAUACGGUCUUGCGAUCCUGUGUGGCAGGGGCCGCGCUGCAUUAGCUAGUUGGUAAGGUAACGGCUUACCAAGGCAACGAUGCAUAGCCGACCUGAGAGGGUGAUCGGCCACACUGGAACUGAGACACGGUCCAGACUCCUACGGGAGGCAGCAGUAGGGAAUCUUCCGCAAUGGGCGAAAGCCUGACGGAGCAACGCCGCGUGAGUGAUGAAGGUCUUCGGAUCGUAAAACUCUGUUAUUAGGGAAGAACAUAUGUGUAAGUAACUGUGCACAUCUUGACGGUACCUAAUCAGAAAGCCACGGCUAACUACGUG